rnacentral:rRNA from 1 species
CGUAGCCGGUACUGCAAGUCUUCCGUUAAAUCCACCUGCUUAACAGUUGGGCUGCGGGGGAUACUACAGCGCUAGGAGGCGGGAGAGGCAAGCGGUACUCAAUGGGUAGGGGUAAAAUCCGCUGAUCCAUUGAAGACCACCAGUGGCGAAGGCGGCUUGCCAGAACGCGCUCGACGGUGAGGGAUGAAAGCUGGGGGAGCAAACCGGAUUAGAUACCCGGGUAGUCCCAGCUGUAAACGAUGCAGACUCGGUGAUGGGCUGGCCUUGUGCCAACCCAGUGCCGCAGGGAAGCCGUUAAGUCUGCCGCCUGGGGAGUACGGUCGCAAGACUGAAACUUAA